rnacentral:rRNA from 1 species
AAUGAACGCUGGCGGCGCGCCUAAUACAUGCAAGUCGAGCGAGAAGACGUAGCAAUACGUUUGUAAAGCGGCGAACGGGUGAGGAAUACAUGGGUAACCUACCCUCGAGUGGGGAAUAACUAGCCGAAAGGUUAGCUAAUACCGCGUACGCUCCUUGGACUUCGGUUCAGGGAGGAAAGCGAUACCGUGGGUAUCGCGCUCUUGGUUGGGCUCAUGUCCUAUCAGCUUGUUGGUGAGGUAACGGCUCACCAAGGCUUCGACGGGUAGCUGGUCUGAGAGGACGAUCAGCCACACUGGCACUGCGACACGGGCCAGACUCCUACGGGAGGCAGCAGUAAGGAAUAUUGCGCAAUGGGCGAAAGCCUGACGCAGCGACGCCGCGUGGGGGAUGAAGGUCUUCGGAUUGUAAACCCC